AUUGAACGCUGGCGGCAGGCCUAACACAUGCAAGUCGAACGGUAACAGGAAACAGCUUGCUGUUUCGCUGACGAGUGGCGGACGGGUGAGUAAUGUCUGGGAAACUGCCUGAUGGAGGGGGAUAACUACUGGAAACGGUAGCUAAUACCGCAUAACGUCGCAAGACCAAAGAGGGGGACCCUCGGGCCUCUUGCCAUCGGAUGUGCCCAGGUGGGAUUAGCUUGUUGGUGGGGUAACGGCUCACCAAGGCGACGAUCCCUAGCUGGUCUGAGAGGAUGACCAGCCACACUGGAACUGAGACACGGUCCAGACUCCUACGGGAGGCGGCAGUGGGGAAUAUUGCACAAUGGGCGCAAGCCUGAUGCAGCCAUGCCGCGUGUAUGAAGAAGGCCUUCGGGUUGUAAAGUACUUUCAGCGGGGAGGAAGGGAGUAAAGUUAAUACCUUUGCUCAUUGACGUUACCCGCAGAAGAAGCACCGGCUAACUCCGUG
rnacentral:rRNA from 1 species